CAUGAAACCCCCAGAAUCACUGUGACACAACAAUUUGAAAGGUGAGAAAGUCUCAGCCAGUACUCGAGCCAGGGAAGCAUUAAUUGUUUUGUUGGGCUUAAAUAGACGCGAUAGCUUUGUCUUGUCGGUUUGUUGCCUCUCUUUUAUCAUCAUCAUCAACCUUCUUGUAUUCGCUGGCAAAACACUCGCUGAAAAAGCUACUCAGGUAAGACAAAACUCGUGUUUCUAGCCAGCUUUCCUUCGUACGAGGCUGAGCACCCAAUUGUAUUCUUAUUAGAAGCCAAAAAAUUAAUAUCUUUGCAUCCUUUUGUUGUUUAGAAGAUAUAGUUCGCUGUUUCAAUAUUGGGAAAGAGACUUAAACGGCAGUUUAUCCAACGAAAGAGUAAGGUAUUGUAGUAGAGUUUUUCGCUAAUACUUUAUCGAAGUAUUUAGGAGAAAAGACUUUCUUUGGACAAGGAAAAUUAUUAUGAAAUUGUGUGGAACACUGGAACAACGUAAUAUAACCUCAAUUCAUGCAUUACGUUGUUCGUAUAUUUUGAAUAUUUUCUUUAUAUUUCUCGUGAAAUAUGGUAUCAGAAUUCAUCGCUUUUUGUUUAAAAUUGUAGCACGAGUUCACUUGCGAGGAAUUCAUAUCUAUUCCGUG